GAGGACAGCUGGUAAAUGAGUUGGUACAGCAGACACAUACAGAUGAAUACAGAUAUAGCAGGGCUGAACUGGUCACAUGGAACAAUGCAUGUUUAUUAGCUAGAAAUGGACUAAGCCUAGCAAGAGGCAGUGCAUAGCAAGUUACAGAUCUCUUCAUUCUGAUUCUUAAUUGUCUGCAGGGAUCCCUAGGAUGCAGACGGACAAUCUUUACAACGUUAGGACCUGACUGAGAGGAGAUUAUUGAUAUUCAGCUCCACAUCUCUCUGAGUGGGUAUAGUGUAUCAGCAGCCUCAAAGCUUGGCGCCAACCUUUCUCUCAUGUGCACCACAAACCAGAAUUAAUUGCAAAUCAAUCGAACAAGG